rnacentral:rRNA from 1 species
UGGGGAAUAUUGCACAAUGGGCGCAAGCCUGAUGCAGCCAUGCCGCGUGUAUGAAGAAGGCCUUCGGGUUGUAAAGUACUUUCAGCGGGGAGGAAGGGAGUAAAGUUAAUACCUUUGCUCAUUGACGUUACCCGCAGAAGAAGCACCGGCUAACUCCGUGCCAGCAGCCGCGGUAAUACGGAGGGUGCAAGCGUUAAUCGGAAUUACUGGGCGUAAAGCGCACGCAGGCGGUUGAUUGAGUCAGAUGUGAAAUCCCCGGGCUUAACCCGGGAAUUGCAUCUGAUACUGGUCAGCUAGAGUCUUGUAGAGGGGGGUAGAAUUCCAUGUGUAGCGGUGAAAUGCGUAGAGAUCUGGAGGAAUACCGGUGGCGAAGGCGGCCCCCUGGACGAAGACUGAUGCUCAGGUGCGAAAGCGUGGGGAGCAAACAGG